GCUGCAGAAAAGCCAAUGACAAGCCCAGCUGCUUCACCAGCACCACAAGGACCUUCUGAGACAAGGACUCUGCUGAUGUGCUGUGGUGAAUUUGACUAGCUCCAUGUUUUCCAGCAUUCAGUUGGUUUAACUGAAUCUGGCAGGCCACCUAGUACUGAGAUGGCUCUAAAGGACUCUUUGGGCCUCCUGAGCAGUGGCCUUCUGAGGACCAAGAACUGAGGGAGCAUCAGAGAGGGAGAGGUGGCCAGAUGCUCGCAGUCUGGGAGCCUUUCUCUUUGCUUCCAAGCUCCUCUCUCCUCAUUCUUCUUCCCUGAAGAAGGUGAAUUUGUUCAUCAUCCGAAGAAGUCAGGACAUAAACUCAGGACAGGAACCUGGAGGCAGGAGCUGAAGCAAAGGCAUGGAGGAGGGCUGCUUACUGGUUUGUUCUCCAUGGCAUGCUCGGCCUGCUUUCUUAUACCAUCGAGGACCAUCCGCCCAGAGGUCACACCAACCACAGUGGGCUGGGCCCUGCCACCUCAAUCAUCAAAGAAGAAAGUUCCCAACAGAUUUUCCAACAGGCCACUCUUAUGG